GGGGAAUAUUGGGCAAUGGGCGCAAGCCUGACCCAGCAACGCCGCGUGAAGGAAGAAGGCUUUCGGGUUGUAAACUUCUUUUGUCAGGGACGAAUCAAUGACGGUACCUGACGAAUAAGCCACGGCUAGCUACGUGCCAGCAGCCGCGGUAAUACGUAGGUGGCAAGCGUUAUCCGGAUUUACUGGGUGUAAAGGGCGUGUAGGCGGGACUGCAAGUCAGGCGUGAAAACCAGAGGCUCAACCUCUGGCCUGCGUUUGAAACUGUAGUUCUUGAGUGCUGGAGAGGCAAUCGGAAUUCCGUGUGUAGCGGUGAAAUGCGUAGAUAUACGGAGGAACACCAGUGGCGAAGGCGGAUUGCUGGACAGUAACUGACGCUGAGGCGCGAAAGCGUGGGGAGUAAAUAGGAUUAGAUACCCUGGUAGUCCACGCUGUAAACGAUGGAUACUAGGUGUGGGGGGUCUGACCCCCUCCGUGCCGCAGUUAACACAAUAAGUAUCCCACCUG
rnacentral:rRNA from 1 species